rnacentral:rRNA from 1 species
CCCGAGUGCUUGCACUCAAUUGGAAAGAGGAGUGGCGGACGGGUGAGUAACACGUGGGUAACCUACCCAUCAGAGGGGGAUAACACUUGGAAACAGGUGCUAAUACCGCAUAACAGUUUAUGCCGCAUGGCAUAAGAGUGAAAGGCGCUUUCGGGUGUCGCUGAUGGAUGGACCCGCGGUGCAUUAGCUAGUUGGUGAGGUAACGGCUCACCAAGGCCACGAUGCAUAGCCGACCUGAGAGGGUGAUCGGCCACACUGGGACUGAGACACGGCCCAGACUCCUACGGGAGGCAGCAGUAGGGAAUCUUCGGCAAUGGACGAAAGUCUGACCGAGCAACGCCGCGUGAGUGAAGAAGGUUUUCGGAUCGUAAAACUCUGUUGUUAGAGAAGAACAAGGACGUUAGUAACUGAACGUCCCCUGACGGUAUCUAACCAGAAAGCCACGGCUAACUACGUGCCAGCAGCCGCGGUAAUACGUAGGUGGCAAGCGUUGUCCGGAUUUAUUGGGCGUAAAGCGAGCGCAGGCGGUUUCUUAAGUCUG